AGGGGGUAUACCCCAAAACGACCCAAAAAGUCGAUUUUGUGAAAUGGUGCGUAAGGGCCGUAGGACACCUUGUCUGGCCUGUAGCACAUGUAUUUCGCAAUAUUUGAUGCAUUUUGGCCUGGUAGAGCCAAUAUUUCGGAGCAUAGAAGGGGCUGUGGGCAGGCGGUCAGGAAGGUCUUGGUGCCUAUACUGAUGCGGUCGGUCCAAAUCUAUGACUCGGUUGUACGGCUCGGCCUCUCGGGAACUGGUUGUUUGACCUAAUGGCUGCGAGUUCAGCUUGGUUGAGCAUCUGGGGCCUCGAUCCAUUGGGUGUCGGGUGGCAUUUGUCAUUCUGCACUCGAGUUAUGUAUACGUAAGAGCUUGAGGGUGGGUUUCGGCUCAUCAUCGGGCUUUUAUGGGCAAUAUAACUUUUCUCAUGUUAAGCCGGCUGGCUAGUUCUGACCGCUGGGCGAGUCAUUCGUGGCUUGUCUAUGCUGUGCUUAUACGAUAUGCGAUGCGUAUAUCCAGCGCGAGCUGUACCCCACUGCGCCUAUAUUGCUGCUCCACACGGGAUGGUGCUAGACCGUGUGGUUGCACAAUUUCAAUGAUUCUUUUUACACACAUACGGCUCUCACGGGAUGGGUACUACCGUGUGGGCAAGGGUUGUCAAUUGUAUCGCUUCCACGUUUCCCUGUGGUUGCGCGCGCUCUCAAUCCCUUUGGGGUUGGGUUGCUUGAAAGAGUGAAU
rnacentral:misc_RNA from 1 species